rnacentral:rRNA from 1 species
GACGAACGCUGGCGGCGUGCCUAAUACAUGCAAGUUGAGCGCUGAAGGUUGGUACUUGUACCAACUGGAUGAGCAGCGAACGGGUGAGUAACGCGUGGGGAAUCUGCCUUUGAGCGGGGGACAACAUUUGGAAACGAAUGCUAAUACCGCAUAAAAACUUUAAACACAAGUUUUAAGUUUGAAAGAUGCAAUUGCAUCACUCAAAGAUGAUCCCGCGUUGUAUUAGCUAGUUGGUGAGGUAAAGGCUCACCAAGGCGAUGAUACAUAGCCGACCUGAGAGGGUGAUCGGCCACAUUGGGACUGAGACACGGCCCAAACUCCUUCGGGAGGCAGCAGUAGGGAAUCUUCGGCAAUGGACGAAAGUCUGACCGAGCAACGCCGCGUGAGUGAAGAAGGUUGUCGGAUCGUAAAACUCUGUUGGUAGAGAAGAACGUUGGUGAGAGUGGAAAGCUCAUCAAGUGACGGUAACUACCCAGAAAGGGACGGCUAACUACGUG